UACAGAGACUGCAAGCGUUAUUCGGAUUCACUGGGCGUAAAGGGUGCGCAGGCGGCCAAGUGUGUGAGGCGUGAAAGCCCGGGGCUUAACCCCGGAAUUGCACCUCAAACUACAUGGCUAGAGCAUUGGAGAGGGUAGCGGAAGUUCACGGUGUAGCAGUGAAAUGCGUAGAUAUCGUGAGGAACACCAGAGGCGAAGGCGGCUACCUGGACAAUUGCUGACGCUCAGGCACGAAAGCGUGGGGGAGCAAAAGGG
rnacentral:rRNA from 1 species